AAGUUAUAACAAGGUCUCUAUUAGUGAACUAGUAGAGGGAUUAUUACAAGAGUUGCAAAGCUCUAGACUAUUGUGAACCUACCCCCUAUCGUUACUUCGACGGGCGGCCCCCGCCUAAGCUUAGGGCCGUUUAAGCCUAUAUAGGCGUCUACUAGAGGUAUAUAACCAUUAACCUUUCGUAUAGCCUCUCUAAGUCUCUAGUAUCUAAAUAGGGUUAAAACUUUCAACAAUGGAUCUCUUGGUUCUA
rnacentral:misc_RNA from 1 species